rnacentral:lncRNA from 1 species
GAUAAAAAAAAAAAAAAAACAAUUUUUUUUUUUUUUUUUUUUUUUUUUUUUUUUUUUUUUUUUUUUUUUUUUUUUUUUUUUUUUUUUUUUUUUUUUUUUUUUUUUUUUUUUUGAGACGGAGUCUCACUCUGUUGCCCAGACUGGAGUACAAUGCUACAAUCUUGGCUCACUGCAACCUCUGCCUCCCAGGCUCAAGUGAUUCUCCUGCCUCAGCCUCCCAAGUGGCUGGG